rnacentral:rRNA from 1 species
GACGAACGCUGGCGGCGUGCUUAACACAUGCAAGUCGUACGGUAAGGCCCUUUCGGGGGUACACGAGUGGCGAACGGGUGAGUAACACGUGAGUAACCUGCCCACAACUUUGGGAUAACGCUAGGAAACUGGUGCUAAUACUGGAUAUGUGCUCCUGCUGCAUGGUGGGGGUUGGAAAGCUCCGGCGGUUGUGGAUGGACUCGCGGCCUAUCAGCUUGUUGGUGGGGUAGUGGCCUACCAAGGCGGCGACGGGUAGCCGGCCUGAGAGGGUGACCGGCCACAUUGGGACUGAGAUACGGCCCCGACUCCUACGGGAGGCAGCAGUGGGGAAUAUUGCACAAGGGGCGCAAGCCUGAUGCAGCAACGCCGCGUGCGGGAUGACGGCCUUCGGGUUGUAAACCGCUUUCAGCAGGGACGAAGCUUUUUGUGACGGUACCUGCAGAAGAAGCACCGGCUAACUACGUG